rnacentral:rRNA from 1 species
AGAGUUUGAUCCUGGCUCAGGAUGAACGCUGGCGGCGUGCUUAACACAUGCAAGUCGAACGAAGCACUUUAUUUGAUUUCUUCGGAAUGAAGAUUUUGUGACUGAGUGGCGGACGGGUGAGUAACGCGUGGGUAACCUGCCUCAUACAGGGGGAUAACAGUUGGAAACGACUGCUAAUACCGCAUAAGCGCACAGGGUCGCAUGACCUGGUGUGAAAAACUCCGGUGGUAUGAGAUGGACCCGCGUCUGAUUAGCCAGUUGGUGGGGUAACGGCCUACCAAAGCGACGAUCAGUAGCCGACCUGAGAGGGUGACCGGCCACAUUGGGACUGAGACACGGCCCAAACUCCUACGGGAGGCAGCAGUGGGGAAUAUUGCACAAUGGGGGAAACCCUGAUGCAGCGACGCCGCGUGAGUGAAGAAGUAUUUCGGUAUGUAAAGCUCUAUCAGCAGGGAAGAAAAUGACGGUACCUGACUAAGAAGCACCGGCUAAAUACGUGCCAGCAGCCGCGGUAAUACGUAUGGUGCAAGCGUUAUCCGGAUUUACUGGGUGUAAAGGGAGCGUAGACGGAUGGGCAAGUCUGAUGUGAAAACCCGGGGCUCAACCCCGGGACUGCAUUGGAAACUGUUUUUCUAGAGUGUCGGAGAGGUAAGUGGAAUUCCUAGUGUAGCGGUGAAAUGCGUAGAUAUUAGGAGGAACACCAGUGGCGAAGGCGGCUUACUGGACGGUAACUGACGUUGAGGCUCGAAAGCGUGGGGAGCAAACAGGAUUAGAUACCCUGGUAGUCCACGCCGUAAACG